rnacentral:rRNA from 1 species
GACGAACGCUGGCGGCGUGCCUAAUACAUGCAAGUUGAGCGCUGAAGGUUGGUACUUGUACCAACUGGAUGAGCAGCGAACGGGUGAGUAACGCGUGGGGAAUCUGCCUUUGAGCGGGGGACAACAUUUGGAAACGAAUGCUAAUACCGCAUAAAAACUUUAAACACAAGGUUUAAGUUUGAAAGAUGCGCUUGCAUCACUCAAAGAUGAUCCCGCGUUGUAUUAGCUAGUUGGUGAGGUAAAGGCUCACCAAGGCGAUGAUACAUAGCCGACCUGAGAGGGUGAUCGGCCACAUUGGGACUGAGACACGGCCCAAACUCCUACGGGAGGCAGCAGUAGGGAAUCUUCGGCAAUGGACGAAAGUCUGACCGAGCAACGCCGCGUGAGUGAAGAAGGUUUUCGGAUCGUAAAACUCUGUUGGUAGAGAAGAACGUUGGUGAGAGUGGAAAGCUCAUCAAGUGACGGUAACUACCCAGAAAGGGACGGCUAACUACGUG